rnacentral:rRNA from 1 species
GCUGGCGGCAGGUCCUAAUACAUGCAAGUACGAGCGCGCCCUUCGGGGUGAGCGGCGGACGGGUGAGUAACGCGUGGGAAUAUGCCCUUCUCUAAGGAAUAGCCUCUGGAAACGGAGAGUAAUACCUUAUACGCCCUUUGGGGGAAAGAUUUAUCGGAGAAGGAUUAGCCCGCGUUAGAUUAGGUAGUUGGUGGGGUAAUGGCCUACCAAGCCUACGAUCUAUAGCUGGUUUGAGAGGAUGAUCAGCCACACUGGGACUGAGACACGGCCCAGACUCCUACGGGAGGCAGCAGUAGGGAAUCUUAGACAAUGGGGGCAACCCUGAUCUAGCCAUGCCGCGUGUGUGAUGAAGGCCCUAGGGUCGUAAAGCACUUUCGCCAGAGAUGAUAAUGACAGUAUCUGGUAAAGAAACCCCGGCUAACUCCGUGCCAGCAGCCGCGGUAAUACCGGA